rnacentral:rRNA from 1 species
ACGAACGCUGGCGGCGCGCUUAACACCUGCAAGUCGAGCGAUGAAAUUUCGACAGAUCCCUUCGGGGUGAAGAUGAAAUGGAUUAGCGGCGGACGGGUGAGUAACACGUGAGUAACCUGCCUUUGACAUUGGGAUAGCCUCGGGAAACUGGGAUUAAUACCAAAUGACACUAACUGAUCACAUGAUCAAUUAGUCAAAGAAAUUCGGUCAAAGAUGGACUCGCGGCUGAUUAGCUAGUUGGUGAGGUAACGGCCCACCAAGGCGACGAUCAGUAGCCGGCCUGAGAGGGUGAUCGGCCACAUUGGAACUGAGACACGGUCCAAACUCCUACGGGAGGCAGCAGUGGGGAAUAUUGCACAAUGGGGGAAACCCUGAUGCAGCGACGCCGCGUGAGCGAAGAAGGCCUUCGGGUCGUAAAGCUCUUUUAUGAGGGAAGAUAAUGACGGUACCUCAAGAAAAAGCCCCGGCUAACUACGUG